CUGAGAUUGGGAAAAAUUGAUUUCCAUGUUCUUGUUGACUGAAUAAGAUAAAAACAACUGCCUUGGUGCUUAUUACCUGGCCAAGUAUUCAGAUCUCUGCUGCUGAGCUGCAGUCGGUUUGAAUGCUAGCACCGCUCCAGCCCGAUGCUGAUGAAAAGGGACUUUGCAGGAACCAAACCUUAAGCCUUUCUCCUGUUGCAAAUGGGACUUGCAGCAGAGCAUGGCUCCUGAAUACGUGGUGGCUCUGUGUAGGCGCCUGGCUGGGUGCUUUGAUCUUUCAGCCAGAACCGUCAAGGCACUUCUGAUAAUCAAAAAUGUGGGGAGGGGGGGGAAGGACGUAGGGUCAUUUCUCUGCAUCAGAGAGCUGCUGCUGGAGAUGACGCAUGUUUUUGCCACCUGGAUUCUGGCUGUUCAUUCAAGCUCCUGAACAAUGACUUUGGGGUAAUGGCUGCUUUUUGGCACUCAGAGUGGUCCAAUGCAGCCCGAGUGGGAGGAGGGAGGUAGCAGUUGGCCUGUGCUGUUGGUGAGAGUGCUGUUACCAGCCUUGGAUGGUAUCGAGCUUGCACCAUCCAGUGGACUUCUUUGAAGUUGUUUCCUCUAGAUACACAAAUCUCCUUUCCAAAGGAGCUGCCUUUUCAGAGAGAAUAUUUGCUGGUUUCCAUGCUAGGCAGCUCUUAGCGUGGGGGGGAUUAAUAAUCAUGUGCUAUGCUUUGGGUUGGAAAUGCUCCUUGUUUCCCCAGCUUCUGUCAAAACACAGUGAAAAAUAUGAGGGAAAACGUGCUGGCCUGGUCUUUCCAAGUUCUUCCAGGCCAGAUGGACUGCCCCAUCCCACUGGGUGCUGUACAGGAGAGCUGACCUCAGCUUAGGCAGGGAUGUGGGCAGGGUGGCUCUGGUGGGAUGUGGCUGGUGAUAUGUUGUGAAGGAGCUCCUGUGUUUGGGAGAGGAGUGAAGAGAUGGCACCUGGGAAGUACUUUGCAUCUUAUUGUUAACAAAUAAGCAGCUAACAGGAUUUUUUCAUUUAAGCCUUGUGUCCAGUGCACCACUGUGCAUUAAUCAGACUCCAAACAUGACUACAGAAUAGGACCCUUCAGCUUGGCCUAAUCCUUUUCCCACUUCUGUUUUAUUUUACAUACAGCUGGAACUGUCUAUGAAAGUCAAACCACCCACCUCUUCAAACACUUGGGGCUACAGGUGACCUUCCAGGCUUUGCUGUUACACCAUUUCAGGAGCCCUCCUUCCCUCUGGGGCUGCCUCUGCUUGAAAGCAGAGGAGGCCUGUCGUGUUGCCAAAUCCAUUGCUGCAGACCUCUUGGUUCCCCAAGAGAAGGGGUAAAGGCUCUUUUUGAUCCCACUGCACAUCUCUGGGCUCUGCUGACCUCCCGACAUGGAGAGCACUGUGAGGAGGAAGAGGACUCAGCACGUGACUAGACUUUGCAGCCAGCUCUGGACCACAAGCUCCUUGCCCCAGAUACAUGCUAGACUCUUGCUGAUAUCCUUUGCCAUAUGGGACGUGCAUGGUGCUGCUUCCUCCUGGCUGCCACUCAUGGGGUUCUGCUCCGGCUCCGAAGCUCCGUGUGUGGGAACUGCUCCUGGCUGGGGCUCAUCUCUGUCUGCAGGAGCUGCUCGGCCUCUUUCAGCACAUCCCAGUCUGCUUGGAGCAAGCAUCUCUUCUCCAGGUAGCCGCUUUCUCUCCCCCGCAUUUCAGCCAUGGUAGUUAUCACAUUAUUUAUGGUAAAUUUUCCUUUUUUGUUGUUUUUUAAGUGUAUGCUAAUAACAUAAUUUAUACAAAAAUGACUUUUGCAUAGGAAUCCUUGUCAUCCAAGACCUGCUCAGCUUCCUUCCCCAGCCAGAGAUUGUGUCCCAGCCAAAAGGGAUGAUGAUGGGUCACAUUUGUGUGCUUUGAAGCCCACCAAGGACUGACCUGGAGUCCAGAGAGCUGUGGGUGCCCCAACCCUGGAGGUCCCCCAGCCCAUGGAUGGGUCCUGAGCAGCCGGAGAUAGUGGGGGCAGCCAGCCCAUGGCAGGGGUGGGACUGGACAGGCCUUGAGGUCCCUUCCAGCACAACCAUUCUAUGGUUCUAUGUCCUAGGAGUGUGGACUGAAGAAGAUCUGAUCUUGGAAGAGGCUGUUGCUCCUCUGCCCCUCCAGCCCUGCUCUCUGCCUUCUGGCACUGAGUCUCCUGAAUUCAGGGAAAGGCAGUGCAGAAGGGGGGGUGGCUUUACUCUGGUUUUAUUUGUGCAGUCUGGAGGAUAAUCAGGGGUCCUCAAGUUUCUGUGGGAGUUGAAAGAAAGGACAGCACAGACUGGCACUGUUCCCAGUCCAAAAUGUUUUUACUAAUUGCAUGCAACCUUCCUUACAAGAGAGAGACUGCAAAUACCACAGGCAGUUUAAUUACCACUGCUGGUUCACAUUGAUCUUAUUUAUGCUGCUCCCAGUGCUGUGUGUGCAGUGUGUGUGUGUGGGGCAGGGAAAGGCUGCGCGGGGAACUGCGGAUGACUGGAAUUGGGUGGGGAAAUCCAAGGGAUGUGCAUGUUUAUUUCCGGUGUGGGAUCUCUCCAAAAAAACAUCACCAUUUGCAUCUGGUGUGCAGGGCAGCUGUGCCCCAAAUACCCUGGUGUGGGUGGGAUGGGGGCAGAGUGAGGAUGAGGAUGGGCGCGGAGGAUGCGCAUUGCGGUGAGGUGAUGCCACCAUGGCCAAGUCGCCAGUGGCUGGAGAAGCCCUGAGCCCUGUUGGCAACCUUCCCUUUGCCAACCUUCCCCUCCUCGCUUCCUCCCCAUCCCACAGUGGGGAGAAAGCGGCACGGGAGGAAUCCGAGGCGAGCAGGCUGAUGGCUGCCGUCCCAGUGCAGGCUCAGCAAAUGGGGCUCGUGAUGGAUGAAUGUGCAGGGCAAGAAGUAAUAAAAUGGGCCCCAGUCAUGUAAUCUUCCAUUAAAAUGAAAUGCAUACCAGAAAUGAGGCAUUUCUGCAGCUUGUACCAUCUCCCACGGAAGAUCAUGAAUAAAAGAGGCAAGUGUACUGUUGACAGAUGCCGGCAUGCAUAAAGGACAGUUCCUAUAAAGGCAAAGCCCCGGCUAACAGAUGGACUAAAGAUGUGAGAUGCAGGAAGAUUUACCAGUCUAAAUAAUUCAAGGGAAUGUCGUAUGGGGAGGCAGUGCUGGAGAGGGGAGCCGGCAGAAGGUACAGAUGGAAAGGCAGGCCAGGCCUUUCCCACAAACCCAUUAAGAACGUCGCUUGUCUGAGUGACAGUAUGUCGCGCGCGGCACCGGCAGAGAGGGGUGGAUUUGCCUCCAGCGCUCCUUCUGCAAGGUCAGGAGAGGAGUCAAUCUCAGAGGCUGCAACUUUUGGAGGGCACGCUUUGCCUCCUGCAAGGCUGCUUCCUCUGGGAUGCUUGGCACGGCAAGCAGAAGGGCUGCUGGAUCCGGAUUUGGGAAUGGAAUGGCCCCAAAUUGCUGAUGGAGAGCUUCAGUUCCCACUGCUUCAAACCAGACCAUGAGAAACCUGAGGCAGGUGCUGGGAUGGAUGGAGGGCUCCUAUGAGUUGGUCAUGUUUGUGCUGUGCUGAACGUAGUCCAUCAUGGGUUGGGUGGCUGCUAGUGCACAUGGGGCUGCACAUCGAGCUUUUGCAGCUGGAAACUGCAAACUUGAUCUCAACUGCCAACCUUGGGCCCCCUUUUGCAACCUAGAGACAGCAGGGCAAUGAGAGCUGGAAGCAUGGUGUCAGGCUCCCAGGUGCCAAGCUGAAGGUAAGAAAUGUGCUGCAAAGGUCUCAAAAGUGUAGGAUAUGGGGAAGCUGCUGCUCAUCACCCCUGGGUGUGCCCUGGACCCCUGUCCCCCAGGUGAACCCGGGGCUUGCUGGGUGAACACGAGACAUUUUGGGAGAAGCAGGGAGAUAAAGGGCAAGAUGCAGAGGGUUAGAUAGAAGUUGGCGGCAGCUGCUUGGCAGAGAUUGUGCGUGCUCUUCGCUCGGAGAGGACGCCUUCCCUGGGCUCGUCAGCCGUCUGCAGCGCAGCGAUUAAUCAUUGGUGUCAGAAUCCCUAAUCCUAUUCAAUGGAAAACAAACAGCGCGGCAUCCAGCCCUGUGCUGAGCCCAAGCAAUUAGCAUGUUUACAUGGACUGGGAAAGCUCAACAAAGAGUGGCCAACAGGGGCCACGGGAAACGAACUCUUGUCAGCCUGCGAUCUUGGAGAGCCCGGGAUCCCUGGGCUCUGAUGAAGGCUUAGGCUUGGAAAUGUGGUUUGAAGGGGCUGAGUGUGGGUGUCCUUGCUAUCAAAAGUGAUUUUUCUUGAUAGAGGCUCAGAAGUGAGCGAGUGUAGGUGGAUGCUGAAGUGAGGGCUGUAUUCAGGUUGUAGGGUCAGCUCAGGAAAUGGGAUCUGGGGGCAAUGGGAGUUUUGCUUGUGAUUCAAUCAUAGAAUCAUAGAGCUGUUUGAUUUGGAGGGGACCCUUAAAGGCCACCUGGUUCCACUCCCUGCACUGAA